rnacentral:lncRNA from 1 species
CACCACACUAGACCUGAAAGAGACUUCACUCUGAGGUGUUGGGCCCUGGGCUUCUAUCCCAAGGAGAUCAUCCUGAACUGGCAAUGAGAUGGGGAGGACCAGACCCAGGAAAUGGAGCUUGUGGAGACCAGACCUGCAGGGGAUGGAAACUUCCAGAAAUGGGCAGCUGUGGUGGUGCCUUCUGGAGAGGAGCAGAGAUAACACUUGCCAUGUGUAUCAUGAGGGGCUGCCUGAGCCCCCCACCCUGAGAUGGGGUAAGGAGGGGAUGAGAGUACAGAGUCUCUUUUCAGAAAAGCAGUAGGCAUUCUGGAGACCCUCAGCAGUGUGGGGACAGAGCUGCAGAUUAGGGUCCCUUACCUGACUUCUCCUCCUUCCAGAGCCACCCCGUCAGCCCAUCACCCAGGUAGGAAAAAUGCAGGGUCUGGAUUUUUGUCCCACUGGUGGUUUCAAGUACCCGGUGGAAGUGUGCCCUGCCUUGUUUAGUGGGAAAUAAUAUCUUCACAAACAUGUUUACCCAAACUGGACCCUGUUUACUCUUUGUAAAGCACAUAGAAACUAAAGGACAAUUUUAUCCUUCUAAUGCUUGUGGUGAAGAGGACCUGAUUCCCAUCAUUUAGUGGCCAGAGGGGAAUUUCUCUGCUGAGGAAAGAUCUCCAAGAGAGCAAUUCACUCCAUCCCUAUCCAUCUCCUUUCUUCUUGUCUCCUGAUCCUUCCCUGCAUUUGUCGUCACAGUUCUGAAAUCUUCCACAGAGUCCAGGACUAGGGGGUUUCUUCAAGACCUGUCUCAAACCUGUUCGCUCACAAGAUGCUUUUUUCCCACAGGUGGAAAAGGAGGGACCUAUGCUCCAGCUGCUUUUAAGUAUGAAGAACAGUGAUCCCUGAGACACCUGGUGCCGCAGUCUGGCUGGGCACAAAAUAACUGAGCCACCACACACCUUGUAGAUUCAAACAGCAACUCUUUAUUCUCGAACUGUCACGUCACUCUACACGCACGCUCUGGGAAAAUCCACACCCUCCACUGGGCUCUGCAUACCAAAUACUCUCAGAACCCCGUGAGAACUCCACAGGGAACUCAAGGAGUGGGCGCCUGAGGCAGCAGGAUACGCCCUAUUCCCAGCAGGAUCCACCUUAAACCUGGAACCGCCCUAUUCCCAGCAGGAUCCACUCUAAACCCGGAUCCGCCCUAAUCCCUGAGCAAGGUCACCUUUCAAAUCAAAACUCUGAAACAUUCAUGCAAUGUCACUGCAAAUGACCUGGGUACAAGGCAAGCCCAUUUCCACAAUGGAGAGUCCUCCCUCUAAGCAACAUUGGAAACAAGGAAAUUGCCAUGCGUCAUUCCUACUUGGCUAUGGCUCUCAGCAACCUGGGGUAGUGUAGAGGGGAACAAUGACCCAUUCCAUGAUUCCUCCAUUAGCCACCUCUCCUAUGGACUCUGACCAGGUUCUGUUUUUGUUUUGCUCAGGUAAUGUCAGAGUCCAGGGCUCUGAUGUGUCC